UUAAACAACUUCGUGUUGCUUCGAAUCGCUAACGUUUUUUACAUUUUGUGGCCCCACGGUGGUUAAAUAAAUCGAUUGUCAUUCGUGAAGCCUCCGAUUCGGAUGUGAUACGAAAUUCUCCACCUUCGCAAUGAUCAUUUUGCAAUUAGACGAGCAACCGAUGCUCAUCCAAGCCGUUUUCGGCGAAAUAGACACGGUUAGGAAACUGUUCGAAUCAAAAAGAUCAAACUGGACAAUUAAAAUACAUACAUUAAUAAAAAAUUUGAAGAAUAUAAAAGGAUGUAUGAUGAAGAAAAAUUGUGACAGUUAAGUAAAUACGUUUUUAACAAACAAAUUAAGGAGUGAGGAAAUAUUAUCAAAUGGAAAUUUUAUGAAUUCAAAGUAAUAACCAUCGUAAGUGUUAAAAUUAUUAUUUUUUUAUACAAAAAUUGUAUUUUGUUAUAAAAUUUAUAAUAUAAAAGUUAUUAAAUCUUU